rnacentral:rRNA from 1 species
GAACGGGUGAGUAACACGUGGGUGAUCUGCCCUGCACUUUGGGAUAAGCCUGGGAAACUGGGUCUAAUACCGAAUAGGACCACGCGCUUCAUGGUGUGUGGUGGAAAGCUUUUGCGGUGUGGGAUGGGCCCGCGGCCUAUCAGCUUGUUGGUGGGGUAAUGGCCUACCAAGGCGACGACGGGUAGCCGGCCUGAGAGGGUGACCGGCCACACUGGGACUGAGAUACGGCCCAGACUCCUACGGGAGGCAGCAGUGGGGAAUAUUGCACAAUGGGCGCAAGCCUGAUGCAGCGACGCCGCGUGAGGGAUGACGGCCUUCGGGUUGUAAACCUCUUUCAAUAGGGACGAAGCGCAAGUGACGGUACCUAUAGAAGAAGCACCGGCCAACUACGUGCCAGCAGCCGCGGUAAUACGUAGGGUGCGAGCGUUGUCCGGAAUUACUGGGCGUAAAGAGCUCGUAGGUGGUUUGUCGCGUUGUUCGUGAAAACUCACAGCUUAACUGUGGGCGUGCGGGCGAUACGGGCAGGCUAGAGUACUGCAGGGGAGACUGGAAUUCCUGGUGUAGCGGUGGAAUGCGCAGAUAUCAGGAGGAACACCGGUGGCGAAGGCGGGUCUCUGGGCAGUAACUGACGCUGAGGAGCGAAAGCGUGGGGAGCGAACAGGAUUAGAUACCCUGGUAGUCCACGCCGUANACGGUGGGUACUAGGUGUGGGUUCCUUCCUUGGGAUCCGUGCCGUAGCUAACGCAUUAAGUACCCCGCCUGGGGAG